UUUCCGUAGGUGAACCUGCGGAAGGAUCAUUAUCCAUCAAACCAGGUGUGGUUGCGGCCCUCGGGGGCUAUCUCCCGGGUGGUAGGGGUAACACUCUCACGCGCCACAUUUCUGAACCCUUUUUUUACGAGCACCUUUCGUUCUCCUUCGGUGGGGCAACCUGCCGUUGGAACUCAUCAAACCCUUUUUUGCAUACAGCAUUACCUGUUCCGAUACAAACAAUCGUUACAACUUUCAACAAUGGAUCUCUUGGCUCUGGCAUCGAUGAAGAACGCAGC
rnacentral:misc_RNA from 1 species